ensembl:lncRNA
GGUAGGCGGCUGCGGGGAUCCCGGGCCGGGGGAGCCGCCUGCCGCAGAUGCGCGGCGUCCUCGGAACCGCGUGAAUUCCGCCCGCACCUGCUGAACGCAGAGCUGGACCUCGAGGCCUGAAGGAGCCCCCAGAGCGACGCUCCCGCCCUCCCCCCGCUGGACCCCCAGGACGCAUGGCCCUUCGCAGCUCUGGGAAGCCGGACAGCGGGUGUCACUUGGGACCCUCCCCGUCCUGGUGAAGACGGAGCACCCCUGGGGGUCCCAGCAGCCACUGAGGCUGAGGACUCCAGGCCGGCAGAGGCUCAUGGAGACCUCCCUCCUCCAGGCUCCCUUCCCAGCACAGCCUCCCCACGACCUCCUGCCCCUCCCGCCCGCUGGGCCACCAGGAGAACCGGCCCUGCGACGACCUUGGACCCCCCCCAGGCCCAGGUGCAGGUCUGGCUUAAGUUUCCUCAGAA